rnacentral:rRNA from 1 species
UGGUGGAGUGAUUUGUCUGGUUAAUUCCGAUAAUGAACGAGACUCUAGCCUGCUAAAUAGUCACUACGUAACAAUUGCGUAGCCUGACUUCUUAGAGGGAUUCGCUACUUUCAGUGGCACGAAAAUGAGCAAUAACA